rnacentral:rRNA from 1 species
AGAGUUUGAUCCUGGCUCAGGAUGAACGCUAGCUACAGGCUUAACACAUGCAAGUCGAGGGGCAGCAUGGUCUUAGCUUGCUAAGGCCGAUGGCGACCGGCGCACGGGUGAGUAACACGUAUCCAACCUGCCGUCUACUCUUGGACAGCCUUCUGAAAGGAAGAUUAAUACAAGAUGGCAUCAUGAGUCCGCAUGUUCACAUGAUUAAAGGUAUUCCGGUAGACGAUGGGGAUGCGUUCCAUUAGAUAGUAGGCGGGGUAACGGCCCACCUAGUCUUCGAUGGAUAGGGGUUCUGAGAGGAAGGUCCCCCACAUUGGAACUGAGACACGGUCCAAACUCCUACGGGAGGCAGCAGUGAGGAAUAUUGGUCAAUGGGCGAGAGCCUGAACCAGCCAAGUAGCGUGAAGGAUGACUGCCCUAUGGGUUGUAAACUUCUUUUAUAAAGGAAUAAAGUCGUAUGCAUACCCGUUUGCAUGUACUUUAUGAAUAAGGAUCGGCUAACUCCGUGCCAGCAGCCGCGGUAAUACGGAGGAUCCGAGCGUUAUCCGGAUUUAUUGGGUUUAAAGGGAGCGUAGAUGGAUGUUUAAGUCAGUUGUGAAAGUUUGCGGCUCAACCGUAAAAUUGCAGUUGAUACUGGAUAUCUUGAGUGCAGUUGAGGCAGGCGGAAUUCGUGGUGUAGCGGUGAAAUGCUUAGAUAUCACGAAGAACUCCGAUUGCGAAGGCAGCCUGCUAAGCUGCAACUGACAUUGAGGCUCGAAAGUGUGGGUAUCAAACAGGAUUAGAUACCCUGGUAGUCCACACGGUAAACGAUGAAUACUCGCUGUUUGCGAUAUACGGCAAGCGGCCAAGCGAAAGCGUUAAGUAUUCCACCUGGGGAGUACGCCGGCAACGGUGAAACUCAAAGGAAUUGACGGGGGCCCGCACAAGCGGAGGAACAUGUGGUUUAAUUCGAUGAUACGCGAGGAACCUUACCCGGGCUUAAAUUGCAGAUGAAUUACGGUGAAAGCCGUAAGCCGCAAGGCAUCUGUGAAGGUGCUGCAUGGUUGUCGUCAGCUCGUGCCGUGAGGUGUCGGCUUAAGUGCCAUAACGAGCGCAACCCUUGUUGUCAGUUACUAACAGGUUCCGCUGAGGACUCUGACAAGACUGCCAUCGUAAGAUGUGAGGAAGGUGGGGAUGACGUCAAAUCAGCACGGCCCUUACGUCCGGGGCUACACACGUGUUACAAUGGGGGGUACAGAGGGCCGCUACCACGCGAGUGGAUGCCAAUCCCAAAAACCUCUCUCAGUUCGGACUGGAGUCUGCAACCCGACUCCACGAAGCUGGAUUCGCUAGUAAUCGCGCAUCAGCCACGGCGCGGUGAAUACGUUCCCGGGCCUUGUACACACCGCCCGUCAAGCCAUGGGAGCCGGGGGUACCUGAAGUGCGUAACCGCGAGGAGCGCCCUAGGGUAAAACUGGUGACUGGGGCUAAGUCGUAACAAGGUAGCCGUACCGGAAGGUGCGGCUG